rnacentral:lncRNA from 1 species
GCUCCUACCUGAAAUGUAGGAACUGUACACACCUCACUGCCAUAAUUAUAUAAGCAAUUUGCACUGGAAUUGUUGUUUCUUUUGGAGUGUCCCUUCAAACUCUGUUUUGGAUCUAAUGUCUUUCUUAUGGGCUUCCCCCUUGGCAUCCUACCCUGGACAGGUCAAGAAAAAGGAAGGGAUCAUUCUUGGCACAUUCAAAGCUGCCUGGAAUGUAGCUUGCCUGGCUUUGGCAGAGUUCUCAAAAUGGCCUUGCAGUCAUAUAAACAGUGCUGAGUCCAGAGACACAAGCUCUUGUAAGAAGGAUGGAUUACAAGACAAGAGACCAGUUGUGGCUCCAGGGGCCACCACCAAAUGACAGUAAGGACACAGGAGAGAAGUACCUGCCCAGCACACCCAGGAACAUGAUGGACAAAUGCCAGACUCAUGAAAAUGCAGCAGAAGAAACAAAGAAAUGGCAACUUGGGACAGGGCGAGAUGGACAGAGAGGAGGACAGAAAGCGUGGAGGAAAUUGUGUACUAUAGCCAACAUUAAAGACUGACAUCACCACCUGAUCUCAGCUUGCAGAUUUUAUUUUAUGUUUUUUCCCU